CGGUUGGUUGAUCGUAAAUUUCGGUAGUAAAUUUGUCUCCUACUACAAAUUAGGUGAAGUGAGGAAUAUUUGAGAGAGCGAGCGUAUCAAAAAAUUGGGAUCAUAUUUAUUUAUUGGGCUAUGUUAGCAGCGUGCAACUAUAAUAUAUUUACCAGGUGGCGGCAUAGUACCACACAAUAGAACUAACACGGUACCUGGAGUCACUGAUAAAGGCAAAGAAAAAUGAUUCCCAUUCCGUUUUAUAGAAAAAUUGUUGACUGGGAACAGUGACGAAACUAGAGGAGGUAGAGGGAGGAAUUAUCGCUGAAUUAGUCAAUUGAAUUAUUUUAAAUUUUCAAUCGAAAAUUGAACGAAUAGACAAAAACAAGUUUUUGUAAAAAAUUAAAUAGUUGUUUUUUAG